UAGGGCAAACAGAUCUAAGGCUUCGGUCUUAAUUUCGGCUGGUGCGCUCAGGCUGCACGCCGAUAACCUCUCACACCUGUGCACCUUUUCGGUUGCGGUUUCGGCAGCUUCCGCUUUUACAUGCAACCACGAAAAGUCUAGAAUGUGACGAGAACUAUAAAGUAACAACUUUCAACAACGGAUCUCUUGGCUCUCGCAUCGAUGAAGAACGCAGCGAAAUGCGAUAAGUAAUGUGAAUUGCAGAAUUCAGUGAAUCAUCGAAUCUUUGAACGCACCUUGCGCUCCUUGGUAUUCCAUGGAGCAUGCCUGUUUGAGUGUCACGUAAACCCCUCACCCCUGCAAUGUACCAUCCCCCGGCGGGGAACUGGAACCGGGCCGGUAAUCGGUUCGCCUGGAAAUGCAUUACUUGGCCUUUUAAAAGGGUGGGCCAAACGGGGGGAUAAUAAUCGGCGCCAACGGCCUGGGGCUUCUUCACCGGCCCUGCUACCAGCCGUCCCUGGUGAACAACUAUUUAAAAGCUUUGGCUUCAAAUCAGGUAGAACUACCGGUUGACCUUAGCCUUCAGAG
rnacentral:rRNA from 1 species